GAGCCCGUAGCUCAGUUGGUAGAGCACCGCACUUUUAAUGCGAUGGUCGCGCGUUCGACCCGCGCCGGGCUCA
rnacentral:tRNA from 1 species